CUUUGAUAAUAUGUGUCAUUGUUUACCAGCGUGUUAUGUGAAUGUGUAUAUGUGUUGAGGAGAGUUUGUAGCACAGUUAGUCGAACAUUGUGAAGGUAGAACGUUAAUUACACGACGAUGCUAAGCUAGCCAAAUUAGCCUUUAGCAGUGCUAACCGCGACAUCGUGGAUGAAAGAGCGGUACUUAGCUACACAGUGACAUUGUACUUGUAGCUUUGUUCUGUAUAUGUUUCUAAAUAUGCUGAGUAUUAUUAGCGGUGUAAAGUGUUAUAUGUUAUCAGCAUAAUUGUGUUUUGUUCUCUGGUGUAUUGCCUUCUUUACUCUGUAGCUAAAAGUGGGAAAUGCUUCUGCAGGUAUAAUUGCUGACUAGAGAUAAUGGUUAGAAUUGUAUGUAGUACGCAUGUAAUAUUAUUUUGCAUAUGUAAACCGUACAGCAAUGAUUCCUUGAAAACAGUCAUUACACACAUACUCUGAGGAAAGUUUGUGUCCGUGCAUCUUUCAUUAGGUAUGUGAACAAAAUUUUCAACAUGGUUAAAUGCUAAAACAAAUUGUACAGAUAGAAAGAGCUUGAAAUAUCCUUAAAAAUAAUACUAAGACCAUGUUUAUAGGUUCAAUAAUCGCACAACACUGGUUAUUUGACAGCCAAAAGUAGUCACUUUAUUUUGUCCUCUGUUUUCCACUGAAGUCAAAGCAAAAGAUGUGACCCUGCGGCACGGCGAAAGCACACUCUGCUGGCUGCUUCUUACGUUGUUAGCCAAUGGAAGCAGAUUUUGCGGGCAAUAAAACUCCCAAGGUCGUCGUUCAGAUUCACUGAAAAUUCAUUCACUUGUAGUUUAGCAACUAAACUAAAUGUCUAUUACAGUCUAAAGAAUGUGUUUACUCACUUUCAGCAAAAAACGAGACAAUUUUGUGACCGACAAACUUUGACUUGCUCAAAAUGCCAGUAUUUCAACGGGAAAGACGGAGACUUGAAACGAGGAGGUAUCUAUGGUUUUUCUGGUGGUGUAAUCAAUCAGAACCCGGAAGUUCCACAAAAAACAAGCAAACAGGAGCAAUUAUUUUCAUAACACUGCAAGUUGUCAGGGAAAAUCCCGAGUUACGUCUGUUGGAACCAAGACGGCAGCCGCGAUGGUGGAGAUAGUCACGUACCUACUUUCAUUCAACUACUCCCCUUUUCAGGGCAUUUACACUGAGACCUAGCUUCCAAAUGUUGGUGUAGGCACUGAUUAUUCUCCUCAAGGUCUAUAUCCAAAACUGAUUCCAAGAGGUUGCUAAAAUCCCCAUAUGGCCCGAAAUGCGGAGGUUAGGACUUUGCUGUCCACAACGGUAGCUACAACCCUGAUGUUUCAUGUAUGAUUAUGACAACAUGUGGACAUCCCCCCUCAAAAGGUAAUAUCUAAUACUUUAUACUAUUAUAUACUGAAUAGAUGUUUAUCAUUGCAACAACAGCUCACACCACUGUGGAAAAAGUGUAUAGUUUUGUUUUAGUUUUUGUUUCAUAACCACAUCAGCAGAGGGAUUAAUUUGUAUAUGGUAAAUGAAUCAGGGGAAAUAAUGGAUCAGUGCAGGGUUGAAUGAGCCCUUGUUCAUUUCAGCACCUAACAACAUCGUGUACCCAGCAUACCGUCGAUGCUCUAAAGGUUCACAUCACAGGAACUUCUGCCUCUUGCUUUGAGGAAACAUUUCCUUUUCUUCUUUCUGCUCCCCAGUGUUUGAUCAAGGGAAUGAAGAAGUGCGUCAUGGUGGCUCAGUGGUUAGCACUGUCACGUCACAGCAACAAAGUCCUGGUUUUGAAUAUUUUGCUUGCUCCUGUCUAGGUGAAUCUGCAUGUUCUCCUGGUGUUUGUGUGGAUUUUCCUCCCACAUGACUUGAGACGUUCCUGCCUUUUUACCUCCUCGGUCUCUCCUCCUUCUCAUCGUCCUUCGCCUCAUCCCACACGUUCUUCUUUCUCUCCAGCAUGCAGCAUCUUCUCUCCUCCUAUAUUCAUCCCAGCAAUGAGUUGGUCCUCAUCUUUGUACUCUGACAGGCCAGUCAUCCAUCUGGCUGAGGAACCCGGCUUUGACAAGAGCUCAGGUGGAGGAAACGAUGGAAGGUGCAACAGAGAUUGAGGAAAGGGAUGAAAGGAUGACUGCCUCAUCUUGGCAACCCCUCUGUGGAAUCUCAGCUCCUUUCACCUCCUUCCUUUUUUCCCCCUCUGCCUUCCUCUUCUUCGCCCCACAGGACUCAGUGGAGCGACAGAGGGAAACAGAGCCCAGCCACCUCCACCUGGUCAUUAUCAGCUACACACCUGCUGCCUCUUCCCCAUGCCUGCUUUCCUCUUGUGCUCUAACUCUUGCCUGUUUUAGGUCCCUCGUCCUCACUCAACCUUGACUAAUGGGGAUAUCUCAUUUUAGAUUUUUGGCAGUGUAUGCAUAUGGGUGCGCAGUGAUGCAAAUUAAAACCUUUCUUUUCUUUUUUAAAUA